AAGCUUGCUUUUCUGAGACCGGCGCACGGGUGCGUAACGCGUAUGCAAUCUACCUUUCACAAAGGGAUAGCCCAGAGAAAUUUGGAUUAAUACCUUAUAGUAUAUCGAGUUGGCAUCAACAUGAUAUUAAAGAUUUAUCGGUGAAAGAUGAGCAUGCGUCCCAUUAGCUAGUUGGUAUGGUAACGGCAUACCAAGGCUACGAUGGGUAGGGGUCCUGAGAGGGAGAUCCCCCACACUGGUACUGAGACACGGACCAGACUCC
rnacentral:rRNA from 1 species